CAUUGAAACACCGGUUCCCAUACAAUCAAUGAAGUUAAGCAAUAUCGAGCCUGGUCAGUAUCUAGAUAGGUGACUGCUUGGGAAUGCCAUGUGCGGUA